rnacentral:lncRNA from 1 species
GAAUUUUCUGCCAAAAGUUCUUGCCACUGAGUCAUCACCAUCUUCAUAUUUUUAAAAAACAUGAGCAAGUCUCAGCAGCACUUCAUUCACAUUAGUAAACAUUACCUAGGGAAAGAAAGAACAGGCCUCAAGAACAUGACAUCAUCAUUAAAAAAUAAAUGUUUACUGAGUCCCUAUUCAGUGUGUGGCCCUGUGUUAGCCCUAGAAAUAUAAAAAUGUGCCUGCUUUUAGGCUCACAUGCACACACAUAUACUCCCAUGUGUUAAAUCUAGAGAAGUGGUGCAGACUAGAAGGAUUAUCGGAAUUCCAAGGAGGGAGCAAUUCUGCUCCAAGGGCUGGGGUGGUCACAAAAGUGUUAUUUGGGAGGACAGCAAGAAGAAGAUAGCUGGCAAGAUUACGUCCUACUGGAGAUGAAAAGGACCCUAAGAAAUGAAUUGUACAAAGAUUAACAAACACAAACCCUUUGCUGGAGUUUACAUUGUAAUACAGACCCUUCAUGAUGUGGCCAGGCAUGUCAAGGCCAUACAGACAAGAGAAGACAAACAUUCAGCCUAGAUAUGGAGAGGCAGCUGAAUAUUUACAUUACCCAACAGAGCAAAGAUCCCUAUACCCAACUUCCUAACUCAACAUCUAGACUUGAAUGUCUCAUGGGUACAAACAUGCCUGAAGCUGAACUCAUCCUCCUUCUUUGAUCUCAGAAGAUAGCACCGCCAUCAACCCAGCUGCCCAAGGGAAAAUUCUGGGAGUCAACCUCUAUUCCUUCUUUCUCCCACUUCACAUUCAGUCAGUCAUCAAGUCCUGCCAAUUAAAUCUCCUAAAAAUUUUUGAAAUCCAUUCACUUCUCUCCAUCCUCAUUGCAACUGCCAUUCUUACUUCAGGCCCCCAAGUUCAGACCAACUUACUGAACUCACUGCCUCUGAUCUUGCCACCCUGUCUCAUCUCCAGUUCAGUUGGUCACAUUGCAAAAGAAUGCCAUUGAUUUUUUUCCAUACAGAUCUGAUCUUAUCACCUUUGUUUAAAACACUUCAAAGACCUUCAAGAAAAAAAUUAAACUCUUUAACAUGAUUUUCAAGGCCCUUCAUAAUCAGAUCUUGCUUUGACAGUGCUGUGUAAUGAUUAGACUUGAGCAAGACUGGCUGGGUUCAAAUCUCAGCUUUAACACUUUUAGUAGCUGUGUAACUUUGAGCAAGUUAACCUCCCUGUACUUGAGUUUUCUCAGCUAUAAAACGGAGUAAUUACAAUGCCUACCUUCCAGGGUUAUUGUUUUUUUUUUGUUUGUUUUUUUCUUUACAGCGUCUCACUCUGUCACCCAGGCUGGAGUGCAGCGACUCACUCUCGGCUCACUGCAACCUCUGCCUACCAGGUUCAAGCGAUUC